rnacentral:rRNA from 1 species
CGUUAGUUGCCAUCAGGUAAUGCUGGGAACUCUAGCGAGACUGCCACCGUAAGGUGCGAGGAAGGGGGGGAUGACGUCAAAUCAGCACGGCCCUUACGUCCGGGGCGACACACGUGUUACAAUGGCCGGUACAGAGGGCAGCUACCUGGUGACAGGAUGCUAAUCCCGAAAGCCGGUCCCAGUUCGGAUUGGAGUCUGCAACCCGACUCCAUGAAGUUGGAUUCGCUAGUAAUCGCGCAUCAGCCAUGGCGCGGUGAAUACGUUCCCGGGCCUUGUACACACCGCCCGUCAAACCAUGGGAGCUGGGGGUGCCUGAAGUCUGUGACCGAGAGGAGCGGCCUAGGGUAAAACCAGUGACUGGGG